GACGAACGCUGGCGGCGUGCCUAAUACAUGCAAGUCGAACGCAGUGGGGACGGGUGAGUAACACGUGGGUAACCUCCCGUCAGAGGGGAUAACACUUGGAAACAGGUGCUAAACCGCUACGGGUUGAUGGACCCGGGGGGGAUUAGCUAGUUGGUGGGGUAACGGCUCACCAAGGCCACGAUGCAUAGCCGACCUGAGAGGGUGACCGGCCACACGGGGACUGAGACACGGCCCAGACUCCUACGGGAGGCAGCAGUAGGGAAUCUUGGGCAAUGGACGAAAGUCUGACCGAGCAACGCCGCGUGAGUGAAGAAGGUUUUCGGAUCGUAAAACUCUGUUGUUAGAGAAGCGGUAUCUAACCAGAAAGCCACGGCUAACUACGUGCCAGCAGCCGCGGUAAUUC
rnacentral:rRNA from 1 species